rnacentral:snoRNA from 1 species
AAGAGUCUACUUUCAAGGAUCAUUUCUAUGGCUUGUUACUAGAGAAGUUUCUCUGAACAGGAGGAACACUGGAAACCAUGAAGGAGAGUCUCAGCAUCGUCUCCUGUGAAUAAAGCUGGCUCUUGGUGUUGCUCCACCACAACAGUCAUUUCCAUUGAUGAUGGUUCUUCUUUUCCUUUGAGAGAAUAAAAGGGAGAGAACAGAGUCUGGCUUGU